UGUGAAAGUGCCAGAAGUCCACUUGGUAGCUCAGGUACUUAGUGACUCUCAAUGCAUUUGACAUUUUGGGAGCCACUUUGUGCCUGGGCCAUCAGUGCGACUAUAUCUUCUAUUAAAAA
rnacentral:pre_miRNA from 15 species